CAUUCCCCAGUUCUCCCGCUCCAGUUCUCAUCCUCCCGUCCUCCGCCCCCCAGUUCUCCUCUGCCAGUUCUUGUCCUUCACUUCUUGUCCUCUUCUUCUGGAAUGUCAACUCUCCUCAGCUGCGGACCAUCAAGCUUUCUUUUACACAUCAUGUCAUCUCUCCGCCAUUGUGUGGAAAUAUUAAUUCACUUGUGAAAGCAUUCUACCUGACCUAGAAGCAAGAACUU
rnacentral:lncRNA from 1 species